GUUGGUAAAACCACCGUUUCUUUUAUGGUAAAACCUCCGUUUUUUUGAUGAAACCAACCUCAUUAAUUUUUAUCAAUAAAAGCAGAUGGAUUGUUGGUUGUGCGGCUGUGCGAUUGACAUCAAAAUUCACAAAGGAUGAGUCCCCUGUUCGUUUUAUCAACGCUGCGACAAGCCGCGGCAGCUCAAAAUCAUCUCUUCAGUUACGGCAAACACGUGACUCGCCGAUUUGUAGGCCGUUCGUUCUAGAUCCACCAUUGAAGUGGGUCUCUUCAGAUUUGGGAAUCUUGGAAUGGGAAGAAAUCCGGUGAAUUUAUGGGGGUUAGUAUGCUUCUCCUUGAUGGAAAAUUAAUUCCGGUAAGCAAACACAUGACCACCUUCCAAUUUCAUGAAGAUUUUAUACUUUACAAUUCAUAGAAAAGUAGUCUACUUUUGUUUCUUUCACUUUUCAUUUCAUCUGUUUGAAACCUAGAAUACAUGCCUAGACAGGUCAUGUCUGAACUCUUUCAUUCUUCUCUCUUCCAUGGAUCUGUUUCUUAAAAUUAUAGCACUUCAUUACUGAGCUUGGAAGCUGUCUGUUCUUCUGUAGACGCCACGCCGUCAAUGGUUUACGGUUUCUGAGAAAAGGGACCCUUUUCAAUAAAGCAUAAAUCUUUGCUAAUAUUGUCGAAUCAAUUGAUGAAUGGUUAUAAAGGUAUAGUUUUUCUUUUUGUUGUUAUUGCAGUUACUUUGUCGAAGACAAAAAGAAAGGAAGGGAGGGAGGGAGCACAAGGAGAGUGUUGUUAAUUAAAACAGAGAGGCUGUCAAGAAAUAAUUCUGAAUAUGCUUUCUCUUUUGAAAACAUGAGAAAUAUCAAAUUCAAGGAGUUCAGACAACAAUAUAGACACAAUGGAAGGUCGGUUUCUUUGUUGUUGUUUUUGUAACUAUGAAUAAAUGGGCGUUGCUUGAAUGUAAUUGAGAUUAAUAUAUGUACAUUAAGUCUUUGAUUUGUAGUUUGGUUCUUAUUGGUUCAGGCUCAAACAAAGUGAUGCAGGUUGUCUUGGUCAUUCUGCUUCUGAUGAAAUCCGUCAUGCCAUCUUUAGAGCCUCAAGGUUGUGUACUAUGUUUCUUAAAGUUGUAUUAUACUUGGUCUAAACUGUUGUCUGAUGCGUUUUUGCAUAUGUUUUGGAAUGUUUUUUAAGCUGCUUUAUGGUGAUGCUGGACUUCUUAUUGCAGAUAUGCCAAAUGAAGAGGUUGAAAAGGUAUAAUCUCUCUCCUGCAGUCCUCUUUUUUACAAAGCAACAGUGAAGGACUUAUGUUGUAUCCAUCUCUCUCUUGGCUUUCCCGUAUCUUCAAAAUUCUUCUUUUGGUUAUUAUCGCAGCUUAUUUAACGCGAUGACUUAUUUAACGCUUCUGAAAGUUCAGAAUUUUCAAGGACUAGAAGCACUGCUGUAGAAACGGCUUGUGAGUAAAACUAUUGCAAGCUUCAUUGUGUUUAUCUUCAUUACUGAUUAACUCUGUUUUGGUACAAAUGAUUGAUCAUGUUGAGUAUUGCAGGUUGGCUUUUCCUGAUACUACUUCUGGAACACACUUCUAUUUUGGCAAUGAAUGUCUCACCGGCCAGAGUUUUCUAGCAGCGUAAGAGAUUCCAUACUAACUGUUGUUUAUGAAAUCUGAUACACACUGUUCUCCAAAGACGGAUUAAUUUUUUUUAGUAGUUUAUCUGGAUCUGAUGAUGGUUACAGCUUCACAUCUUCCAAGUAUGGAGAUGUGCGAAAAAAUGAAACAGUUACUCUUGCUGAACUGAACAAUUACGUACUGAACUCUCCACCGCAGGUUCGUCCACUUAGUUCGUUUUAUAGCUAUAUAUGUUUGAUUCUCUGAAAUCAUCAAGACAGUCCGGUGGACCCAACAACACAAGCUCCUCAAACUUCUGCUCCCAAGAAAUUUCUGAUGCCCAAGAAGACCCAUUGCAUUUAAGAGAUCCAACGCAGGAGUUUAUGAGUUAUAAACAGAGGUUGCGGUCCCAUUAGCUAUCUAGAAUUUUAAGUAUGAGUCCAAUAAUAAAGUAGUACUUUCCGUUCUCACCGAACCCAGCGUAAUCUGGUUAUUUUCUUAUUACGGUUUAGUUUUGGUUUCAAAUUUUUUGUUUCGAUGGUAUCAAUUUUUUUUACAGCCGAAGGUAUAAAUCUUAAGACUUUAAAAUGAAGAUAAGUGUACCUCAUGUUGUAAGAUGAAUUAUUAAACAGCACAACUAACAGACAGAUUAGAACGACCCAAUUUAGUUUUACCAGUGUGACUUGAUUCAUAAAUUGAAUUUAAACAUCCUGUGGAGUUGCACAGAAAAUAUCAUCCACGCAUUGGCAUCUUACAUCAAGCAAAGCCUGCGCAAUUGUACAUCGUCAAUCGUAAACAUUGAAACCAUGUCUAGAUUUAAUUUUCAAAACCUCAAUACACUUGGGAAUGCAGAGCUGAACUGACAUAGCAGGUUUCUUGAGAUCAACGUAUCUAUCUCCCAACAUAAGUUAAGAGUUUUGUGGAAAAAUGUUUUAUUACUUUCCACAUGACUUCCGAUCAUUACAAGGUUUAUUAAGAACUUUUUUUAGGCUAUAAGCAUUUAAUGGUAUCUACAUAUGAUUUAAAAUAACCAAUUAAAAAACAAGUUAAAUUUCUUAAAAUAAUACCAUUUUACAAAAACGUUUUCAAUCAAAAAUAUCCUAACAUUUGAGUUUGGAGUUUAGUAUUUAAGGGGUGGGGUUGGAUUUAUAAACUUUUAUAAAUAAUUCUUAAAUAUUUAGUUUCUUAUUGUCUAACAAAAAACUAUUUAAAGUCCAUUAAAUUUCAUAAAAUAUUAUUGUAAUAUUAAAUUAAAAUUAAAGUAUUAUAUUUAUUAAUAUUACAAUUAUUAAAAUUAAACUCAUAAUUGAUUUUUUUUUAUUUUACGAUGAUGCUUAAAAGCCAUGUAUGUACAAAAGUGAACAAUAAAUAUAUAAAAUCAUAUAUCCAUUAUGAGUCUUUGCAGAAAAAAAUCAAAACUAAACAAAAACAACAAUUAGUUCUCCACAAAUUAACAUAGUUUAAAUAUAUUUAAAACCACAAAAAAUUAAAUAUGUGAAUUAAAUAAAAAACUUAAUCAAUGUAAAAAUUUGAAAAUAGUGGUAAAAAUAGUUAGAAUUAAAAUUAAGCAACAUAUGAAAAACUGAUUAAUAGCUGUAUCAAUUCCUUAAAAACCAAGUUGAAAAUUAAUUAUUUAUACAUAUUAUCUAUCAAAAACAUACACUCCCUAAAAUAACCACAGCCAACACACAAAAUAAUGAAUAGCGCACCAAUCUAUAGAUUAUUUCAACAUCAUUCACUCAUAAACUCUAUAAAAUAUUACAUUAUGUAACAAAACACCAAAAUUCAAAAAACUAACACAGACAAACAUAAAAUAUAACCAUUAAAAUCAUGAACUAUUUUAAUAAAAAAACACAAAAUCAUGAUUACUACAUCCAACCAUAGUUAAAUAAUAUCACAUAUCGAUUGAUAAAAAAUAUAUAAACAAUAUUUUAUUUUAAUAAACAAAAAAUAUCCAAAAAUAAUUAAUAGACUUUUGAUAAGAAACGACAGUUAAUCAACCAAUUACUAUUUUGUCCUAACAUAUAUGUCACACUUUUAUACGAAAAGAUGAUACCAGUAUAAGAAAAACAAUCAAUCAUAAGUUAACAAUUAAAAAUAAUAAAUAAAUAUAAAAAAUGAACUAAAUACGUUAUUAUGACAAAAAUAACUAAAUAUCAUAUUUAUUUAAUUUAGAAUAUAUUUUAUAUAUUUCUAAUUCAUUUUACUUUACAAAUUCUUAGAAUCUGAUUUAAUAGAUUCAAUGAUACACAAUCAAACAUAUUAAAAUGGUUGUAGAUGUUCAAAAAUUGAUUUCACAUUAGCAACUUAAUCUAUAAUAUUGUUUUAAGUGCAUUAUUUGAGAAUUGUGUUCUUCAUAUUCAUUCAUUUACGAUAUAAUUAUGUCUUUUUCAAUUAAGAUAAUCUAAACUGCCAACAAAAUAACAAAAAAAAUGCAAAUUAGUUAUACAAAAUUUUAAAUAUAAUAUAGUAUAAAAUGCAAUAGUUCAAAUACACAUAAAAUGAUAAAUUUUCAAUAAAUAGCUCUUAGAGAAUAUUAUUAUAAUUUUAAUUUUUAAUAUUUUGUUUUGCUGCAUGGAAACAAAAGUAUUUGACAUAAUUUAAGGAUUCUUUCAAUGUACAUCACUUUUAGAUUUCAAUUGUUCUUCAUUUCUUCACUGCCUUAACACUUAAUAACAAAUUCAUAUAGAUUUUCUUAUCACCAAAUAAUAAAUAAUCAAUAUUAAAAUUUUAAUAUAUAUAUUGGCUGAUUUUAACGUUAAAAAUGUUCGAAUUAUAUGCUCAUUUUGACCAUAUUUUCAUAAAAUUCAAAUAAACAAGAUAAAAGAAUAAUUGAAUUUGAACUAAUUUUUUUUAAUUCAGUUUGGUUACCAACUUAUAUGUAUUUUGAUAUAUUGAAAGAAAAACAGAUAAAUUUUAAUAAUUUUAAAAUUUAGUCAACAAAAUCAAUACAAAUAAUUGCAAAUUUGUUUAAUAAUUUAUAUAUCACAUUCAGUCUAAGUAUAAAAUUUUUAGUCAAAUCCAAAAUCCAUAAUAAACUAAAUAAAAUUAUAAUAUAGGAGAAAACCCCGGGCGUAGCCCGGGAAAAAUCUCUAGUUAUAAUAAUAACUAGAUUAUCAACCACAAAAUAAAAACAACAAUUAAAUAUACCAAACAUUAAAGAAAUAGUGUACAACAAAGAAAAAAAACAAAGAGGAAAAACCUUGACCAAUAGGAGGAGCCAAUUCAAAAUGGUGAAGAUAACUAUAAUAUUAAUCACCACCGUUGAUAGACCUUAAAUCUAACGGAUAUUAUUAUUCUUUUUUCUCAUUAUCUCUUUAUUUUUUUUUUGUUUUUCACGGCUCACGACCUUUGCGAUUCCUCAUAGAUCUUAAACUAAAUUAUCAAUCUUUCCACAAUCUCAUCUCUUCAUCUCUCCUAACCUCUGGUCCUCUGCAAUCUUCUUCUUUAUGGUGAAGCUCGUCACCUCCUCCUUUUGAAACCAUCACUGGUCACCACCAAUGCCGUCCGACACCACCACCACCACCACCACCACCACUCGUCACCACCAUCGCCAUCCGACAACAUAGACCUCUCUCUCUUUCUCUCUCUCUGAUUUUGUUUUGAUUUUUUGGUAUAGGAAGGUGGGUCGUGAGCAGAGUUGGUGGUUGUCGUGAGCUUGAAGACAGGAGAGGUACGGCGUCGUUGCUAGCGGCUUCUGCUCACCAGAGAGUGAAGACAAAGGAGAUACCGCGUGAUGCGCCGGAUGAUGAUGACGAGACGUGAUGCGGCGGUUUAGAUUUAUAUUUAGGUUUUUCUGUUUUGGUUUAGUGUUUUUCUUACUUCUGUGUAGUUUGUUUUUGCUUUGGUUUAGUUUAGAUUU